rnacentral:rRNA from 1 species
UACCAGCACCCCGAGUGGUCGGGACGAUUAUUGGGCCUAAAGCAUCCGUAGCCGGUUCUACAAGUCUUCCGUUAAAUCCACCUGCUUAACAGAUGGGCUGCGGAGGAUACUAUGGAGCUAGGAGGCGGGAGAGGCAAGCGGUACUUAGUGGGUAGGGGUAAAAUCCGUUGAUCCAUUGAAGACCACCAGUGGCGAAGGCGGCUUGCCAGAACCGCACUCGACGGUGAGGGAUGAAAGCUGGGGGAGCAAACCGGG